rnacentral:tRNA from 1 species
GCGCCCGUAGCUCAAUUGGAUAGAGUAACUGGCUUCGAACCAGUAGGUUGGAGGUUCGAGUCCUCCCGGGCGCA